rnacentral:snRNA from 1 species
UGUCCUCCAUCGGAGGUCUAUAUUGAGCAGAUUGUUUUUGGUGUUGGGUGGUGGAACCGGAGCUUGCUCCAUCCACUCCAUGCAUUGACCUGGUAUUGAAGUGCUUCCAGGACUGGUGC